GGGGUCGACUGGUUUUGACAGCGAGACCAAUAGUAUUGUAAGCGUGUCGAGCGCUGGAAAACAGCUCGUAAAUCUCAUUUUUCAUCUUUUUAAACGGCGAGAACAACUACGCCCUAGCUGCAUAAUCUGAAUUAUAGUAAGAUUACGCCUCGGUCUACAAGGUAGACAAGCAGGAAGUCACUCGAGAGCCUUGGUUUACGGCAAUCGAUAUAGUGACUUCGUAAAAGUAAACCUAUCCCUCGUAGGGCUUUGAUGCGAGAGAGACACCUAAUUGAAGAUAAGGGGUGCGUUGGUAGUUUCUAACCGGCAAUCUCACGAAAAUUUAAACAGAAACUACACACGUAGAAAGCAGUAAUAUUGCUUGUUUGGACGAGGGUUCGAAUCCCUCCGACUCCACUG
rfam:Dokdonia sp. 4H-3-7-5 chromosome, complete genome.